CCCUAAUCCUAAAGAGAUCAACCUAAAACGGCGCCCCUCAUCUCUGCCACCUUCCGCUCGCCCAAAACUCGCCGGAACACUCACUGAUUCUAGCGAGUUAAUUCAUUGUCCCCCUUUCCCUUCUCUCUUUCUUCCAUGUGGCCUGACAAAUAACCGAUUUUGGUUCGAAUAUUCCCUUACUCUUUCUUAUCCGCGUUUUUGAUAUGUUUUCUAACAUGUGAAUCUCUUUCAACAGUAGAUGAUGGACGAAGGGUAGGAUAUGAUUAAUGAAAAUUAAUCAUACCCUCCAUCUGCCCAGAUUUUUACCGAAAAUAAGGAGAUUUUCGGAAUUUUGGAGUUCUUUUUUCGGAUUUGGAGAUAAAAAUCGAUUUCUUGGCGAGGAAGCAUAGAUGGUUCGAGACCCCCUAUAUAUUGGGGUGGUUUCUCAGAUUUUGGGGGGUGAACAGAAAAGAUAGGGGAAAAAUUUAGAGAAAAAUCGGAAGGAAAGGGUUCUAGGGUUUAAUUUUGGGACUUCCAGAUUCUUCUUUGGAUUUCCGUUUUCGUUUUCAUACAUAUUAAGAAAAGAAAAAAAGAAAAUUUCUGCUGCUUCCCUCGAUUUCAAUCUCGACUACAACAUACAAAUGGAUUGAAGUACGAGUUGGAGUUCGUGUUCGGAUUCGAAAUUCCAGUGCCGUUUCGAGUUCUUGUUCGAGGUUUCUUUCCAAUUUUGAAGUUGUAUCUCGUUUGAAUUCUGGAAAUUGAAGUUGAAUUAUCACUGAAUCUCCUGCUGUUAUUUAAGAAAAAUUCGCCCCAACAGAUUGUGUGCUGGAGAAGAAGGUGACUCUAACUUGCAACUUUUCAAAGGGACGAGUAGCUUCAAUCUGCCGGAAUCCCUUCAACAGAUUUACUUUCCUGAUGGCGAUGCUCCUCUCUUCUUGCUGCUGAUCAUUAUGGUAAGAUGUAAGACCUAUUGAUGAUUGAAUUUUAUAAAUGUAAAAAUAUGCAAGCUUUGUUGAAGGAGGAUAAUAAUCGUUGUGAUAACAUUUUACAAGAAGUUAAGGGGGACACAAACCGAAAAGUAAAUAAAGGUAAAAUGCAAGGUGUAUUAGACUAUAGCUAUUCAAGUUUUGUUAAGGAGAGCAAGAAUCAUUAUGAUAAUAGCCAAAAGCCUUUCCAUUUAGGAACA